rnacentral:rRNA from 1 species
GGACUACUAGGGUAUCUAAUCCCGUUCGCUCCCCCAGCUUUCGCGUCUCAGCGUCAGGAGCAGGCCAGGAAGCCGCCUUCGCCACUGGCAUUCCUCCCGAUAUCUACGCAUUUCACCGCUACACCGGGAAUUCUACUUCCCUCUCCUGCCCUCUAGCCCGACAGUAUCCCGCGGCCUCCUACAGUUGAGCCGUAGGCUUUCACACGGGACUUACCAGGCCGCCUGCACGCGCUUUACGCCCAGUAAUUCCGGACAACGCUAGCCCCCUACGUCUUACCGCGGCGGCUGGCAC